rnacentral:tRNA from 1 species
AAGGUUUUAGCUUAAUAAAAGUUUUAGAUUUGCAGUCUGAAGAUGUAGGGUAGAGUCCUGCAAGCCUUA